CGAAGCGCCGCACCCCAGCCACCUGUGUUCGAGAGACGUCGCUGCUCCUUAGCCGUUCACGCAACCUUGUUGUCCAGCCAGACACUGUGCUCGAGCCGCCUCACCUCUCCCUCAUCCGCAUAGACCGCUGAGUCGCACUGCUCCUCAAUGCGCCAGUUGACGCAGACUAGCGUUGCCGGUUGUCUCAGCCAUGUGUCCCGUUCCGCCCACUUUCGUCACAGCCGGCCGCCACCGCCUUGGUUCUCGUCGAAAUUUUUGAGAAUUGGGGUUUGUGGAGCUUUUUUAGGAGUGUAGCGGUGUUCUGUGGUGUUGCUUUUCUUCUCUGGCGACUUUUGGGCAAGGGUAAGGACAUGCCGACGAAUGACAAGCAAAAUCCGUGAUCGAGCUAUUGGGACCAGUCAUAUGCUUCCGCUCAUGUUUUCAAGACUUUUCUUUUUCUAGUCUUCAUUUUUGGAUCUCACAAUUUUUCAUAUUUCCAUUUUUGACUUUUAAGGAGAUUUUUCUAGAUUUUUUUUGUUGGGUAC